rnacentral:rRNA from 1 species
GAUGAACGCUGGCGGCGUGCCUAAUACAUGCAAGUCGAGCGGACGGACGAGAAGCUUGCUUCUCUGAUGUUAGCGGCGGACGGGUGAGUAACACGUGGAUAACCUACCUAUAAGACUGGGAUAACUUCGGGAAACCGGAGCUAAUACCGGAUAAUAUUUUGAACCGCAUGGUUCAAAAGUGAAAGACGGUCUUGCUGUCUCUUAUAGAUGGAUCCGCGCUGCAUUAGCUAGUUGGUAAGGUAACGGCUUACCAAGGCAACGAUGCAUAGCCGACCUGAGAGGGUGAUCGGCCACACUGGAACUGGGACGCGGUCCAUACUCCUACGGGAGGCAGCAGUAGGGAAUCUUCCGCAAUGGGCGAAAGCCUGACGGAGCAACGCCGCGUGAGUGAUGAAGGUCUUCGGAUCGUAAAACUCUGUUAUUAGGGAAGAACAUAUGUGUAAGGAACUGUGCACAGCUUGACGGUACCUAGUCAGAAAGCCACGGCUAACUACGUG